CUAAAUAGAAAAAGCAAGCUUUUUAAACCUCCCCCAAAUCAUGAUUACAACCCGACGUUUGACGCUCAACCCUAGCCCUUCCCUUGUAGCUCUCUAGUCUCAAUUGCAACCGGUAAUCCCCAACUCUCACCUCAUCCCUGUGUAGCUCAUUGGUUCUACGACCAUCACCAAGCUUUCUCAAGUUAAUUUCUUCCUAAUUUUCUCUUUCUAUUUAGGUUUCAAUUUUCGCUUGUGCUCUUUCUUAGCAAUGGGGUUAAACCAUAGGUAGAAUGGUUGUUUUCUGUUUGGAAAUAGUUUAUGAAUAUCUUCUUUGGUACAAUUCUUUAUGAUUCUCAUGUCAAUGGUUUAUUUUGGGGUUUUGUGGGGAAUUUUGAUUUUGUGGGAGUGGGUUUGAUAGGUUUACAAGUUCAAAGAAUUUUGUAGAAAUGCUCAAAGGUUUUGUCGAUGCAUUUGUGUGAUUCGGUUCUGGCUUUGAGGAACCAUUUAUGUGAUUUUGAGGGUUUUUUUCUGCCUGCUUAGGUUGUUUUUUGUUGCCCUGUACUGUGUCAUUCACUUGUCCAAUGAUCAGAGUGAAGCUCUGUCAUUCACUUGUACUUGGUUGCUGGAAACAAUCUUUUAAUCAAAUGUAUGUGUGUACGUGUGUGAAGUAAUAAUAAAAAAUAAAAUUAUUCCUUCCAAGCAUGAGGAGUUUGAUUCUUAUGUAUAAUUUUGUUAAGAAACUGUUUAAGAGUUUGAUCGGACAAAUUUAUCAAGAUAGAUGAGUUGAAACAGGUGGGAAAUGGAAUUAUGGUGUAAAGUGGAAAUGUCCCCCACAGGUUAGCUGGAAUUAGAUGAUGUUUCAACAACUAGAGAAAAUAUACCUUGUUAAAGCAUGCAUGAUCUAUGGUUGAUGGUAUUGGCCCCGGUUCUUCUUAGUCUGAAUUUUGGCCAGAAAAUCCUAGUGAAGUUGAAUGUAUUAUUGAGAAAUAUAUGAAAGAGGAAUGAAAAUUGGGGAAAUAGGGCAUCGAAUUAAUCGGAUGUUCUUGGUUCUUGAAAUCAAGAAAAAGAAGGUAGCCCUUGAGCUGCUAAAGUUGUAGGAAGAAAUUGCCAACACGAAGGGGCAGACUUUAGAGGGUGGAGUAGAUGAGUUUCCCUAAGCAGAAUUGAUGGAAAUUAUUGGUAAAUUGUGUAAGAAGCUUGAAAAAGUGGAGAAUAUAACUGAUUUCAAAAAGGGAGAAACUAAUUUUAUGAAUGAGCCUACUGUGCACUGGUCUCAUAUGUAGGGUUUGUUUGCAAUUCAGCCACUUGAUAUCCAUGUGCCCAUGCAAGGCAUCUUAGAAUAUGAUUUAGGUUUUUAUAUCAAGGCUUUGAAGAGGUAGAAUAUGGUUUGGGGUUUUUAGAUAAAGGCAUUAGAACUGUGGUAUAUGAUCUGGAUUUUCUUUUUAUCCUCUAAUACUUGCUUUGGUUCCCAAGAGAAUGCUAGAUUGCAUAUUUUGAUGAUAUCAUGUACUAAACCGUGCCUAAUACUAUUUAGCUUAAUUUAGGUGGAAUUUUCUUCCUAAGGAACCAUAAAAAUAUACAUGGGGUUCAAAUGUUUUGGUAGCUUCAUCUGUUUCAUAGUAAUUUCAACAUUUAAAACCAAUCCAUUAUAUAACCGAAAUGAAUAUAAUGAUUGUUUUCUUUUAUUUGCUUAUUUUACUGUUAAAAUCAAGAUAGAUGAGUACUGUCCUAUAGUCCUAUUUGUUAGCUUGUAACAAUCAGCAAUGGUAAGCUAGGUACUUAACGUAGCCCAGUUAGGCCAAUAGUGUGAGAACUAGAAAUUAUCAUAGAUAUUGUCUCCCAACCUAAGAGAGAUAUUUGUGCCUAAGUAAAGAAUCAGAUGCUUAGUAAUUAAAUAAAGAGAAUUUUACAAAAAGACUUAUCUAACUAAGCCAUAGGGGUAUCCAAAACACCCUCAAGUAGUGAACCAGUGAUGCAGAUUCAAUUGGAUAAUGGAAUUAUUCAAGCCUUAGUUCUAAUGUUGAUGUAGAAGGCUUUUUGAAGCCUGAAUUUACAAGGCAGACAUAUAAUUUAAUGAAGGAUUAUGCAUGAUCUCCCUUGAUUAUAGCACUGGAGGCAUCAUUGGAUUUUGCUGAAUCCUGUUUAUGGUUUAUCAAGUCGGAGAUGCAAAUAGAAAUUCUAGUAUUUGACCUUUAGCAUCAUGAUUCCAAUGCAUGGACCAUGCUCUAUUUAAGCAUUUAUUGCCUUUGUCACUUGUAGGUCUCAAGGUGUAAUAGUUUUUCAUAUCCAUUUUUUGGAUAUGAAAAAAUAGCCUAGGAACACUAAAGAGUUAGCCAUUUAGCUGAGGUCCCAAAUAUUAUCUAGAAGAGUAAUAUCUAGUUAAUAUAGUAAAGGGUAGGAUAAAGUCAUCAUGAGGUUGUCAUAUAUUGGCACAUCUGAGGCUCCUUAGAUAGAAAAAUGCAUCAUUGAUGCUUUUCACAAGGUUGUAUCCUUGAAAUACCUUGGACAGAGGAUCAUUGUCUACACACCCCAUGCAUGGGGCACAUCUCAAUUCUUGUCAAAUUUUCUCUACUGAUUUACUUUUUAUGCCACAUGCUACUUAGUGAGAGUCACAUGUUGUGAAUUGACAAAUUAUUUUGCCGUGUAUCAACUUAUUUUAGGUUUACUAAUAAAGUAUGUAGAUUUUCUAAUAUUUCUUGCUCCUUAAUACAAAUAUGUUUUUGACUCAUCAAACUAGAUCAUAACCAAGCUGCUAAAUAAUGUUCACUUGCUUUAACCAUAUGUUAUCCUUUCUAAAACUUUACUGGGGUAGAUUUUCUUUAGAUGUCAAUUACUACACCAUAGAUUUGGUCAUCUUCUGCUUGGCUUUAUUUGUUGAUCACCAUUUAUGUUUGCUGGAACAUUAAAUUUUACCCUCUUCUUUUAACUGAAAAUAUGAGAGACGGCUACCCUAGCUGAUAUACCAUAAUAUGAUUAAUCCCAGCUCAACUAUCUUCUUGUUGUGACAACUAACCUGCCUCCUAUACUAUUUGGUUUCAGGGAGGACAAUUAGCAAUUAUUAACUUGGAGUCCCAUGCAGCCUUGCUUGCAGCAAAACAAAUGCAUUUUCACAUCUUCAACAUAUGCUGCCACUAAAUAAUGUAUUACUAUAUUAUAAAAUGUCUUGAAAAUGGGUGAUUAUUAAUAGGAGCAUCAACAGACAAUCUUAUAUAUGGGGUAGUAUGGAAUGUGCAAUUGCUGCUACAUGUAUUCAUACAAAAAGAUGUUGAUAUAUUUGAGGCAAUGUAUCUUAUAAUUCAUAACAGUAUAUUAAUUACCUCA
rnacentral:lncRNA from 1 species